AAAAUAUUGGGGUUCUAUUACGGAGAUAAUGAGAUAAUUCACCUGAAGUGACUGCCACUCAACACUUUGUAGUGAUCACACCAUUAAGUUUUAAUUUAGGACAAUGUAAGAUUGAUACUGUAUGGCUUGAAAAUUACAUCUAGAUGUUGUUAUAGUUGCUUGGGUAUUGAGGAGAUUGUUUGAAUUGAAGACUAUUUAAGUAGAAUUAGAUAAAUUACAAGAAUAUAUUUAGGUUCUCUUUU